rnacentral:rRNA from 1 species
UACGAAGGGGGCUAGCGUUGCUCGGAAUUACUGGGCGUAAAGGGCGCGUAGGCGGACAGUUUAGUCAGAGGUGAAAGCCCAGGGCUCAACCUUGGAAUUGCCUUUGAUACUGGCUGUCUUGAGUUCGGGAGAGGUGAGUGGAAUGCCGAGUGUAGAGGUGAAAUUCGUAGAUAUUCGGCGGAACACCAGUGGCGAAGGUGACUCACUGGCCCGAUACUGACGCUGAGGCGCGAAAGCGUGGGGAGCAAACAGG